rnacentral:rRNA from 1 species
UACGUAGGAGGCAAGCGUUGUCCGGAAUUAUUGGGCGUAAAGCGCGCGCAGGCGGUUUUUUAAGUCUGGUGUGAAAGCCCACGGCUCAACCGUGGAGGGUCAUUGGAAACUGGAGAACUUGAGUACAGAAGAGGAAAGCGGAAUUCCACGUGUAGCGGUGAAAUGCGUAGAGAUGUGGAGGAACACCAGUGGCGAAGGCGGCUUUCUGGUCUGUAACUGACGCUGAGGCGCGAAAGCGUGGGGAGCAAACAGG